GACGAACGCUGGUGGCGUGCUUAACACAUGCAAGUCGAACGGGAUUUAGUAAACAGAAGCCUCGGUGGAAGAUUACUAAUGAGAGUGGCGAACGGGUGAGUAACGCGUGAGCAACCUGCCUAUGACAGUGGGAUAGCCUCGGGAAACCGGGAUUAAUACCGCAUAAAAUCGUAGAAACACAUGUUUUAACGGUCAAAGAUUUAUCGGUCAUAGAUGGGCUCGCGUCUGAUUAGCUAGUUGGUGAGAUAACAGCCCACCAAGGCGACGAUCAGUAGCCGGUUGUGGGGGAGGACCGGCCCAAUUGGAACUGGGACCCGGCCCAAACCCCCACGGGGGGCAGCAGGGGGGAAAAUUGCACAAUGGGGGAACCCCUGAGGCAGCGGGGCCGGGGAAACGAAGAAGGUAUUCGUAUCGUAAAGUUCUGUCCUAGGGGAAGAUAAUGACAGUACCAAAGAAGAAAGCCCCGGCAAAAUCCGU
rnacentral:rRNA from 1 species